AGGAAUAGAACCCAGUCUUCUGUGUGCCAUGGCUGUAAACAGUAGCCUCCUUGGUAGUGUAUGCAGCCUGUUGAUUGCAUGGGUUGCCCUAAGGGACCUUGGAGACAGCC
rnacentral:snoRNA from 1 species